AGCAGCCGCGGUAAUUCCAGCUCCAAUAGCGUAUAUUAAAGUUGUUGCAGUUAAAAAGCUCGUAGUUGAAUUUCGGGAUCAAUACGUCGGUCGUGCCUCGGUACGUACUGGCGUCAUUGAUUUCUCCCUUCUGAAGAACCGUGAUGCCAUUAACUUGGUGUCAUGGGAAAUCAGGACUGUUACUUUGAAAAAAUUAGAGUGUUUAAAGCAGGCUCACGCUUGAAUACAUUAGCAUGGAAUAAUGAAAUAGGACGUUCGACCCUAUUUCGUUGGUUUCUAGGAUCGACGUAAUGAUUAAUAGGGAUAGUUGGGGGCAUUAGUAUUCAAUUGUCAGAGGUGAAAUUCUUGGAUUUAUUGAAGACUAACUACUGCGAAAGCAUUUGCCAAGGAUGUUUUCAUUAAUCAAGAACGAAAGUUAGGGGAUCGAAGACGAUCAGAUACCGUCGUAGU
rnacentral:rRNA from 1 species